GACGAACGCUGGCGGCGUGCUUAACACAUGCAAGUCGAACGGAAAGGCCCUGCUUUUGUGGGGUGCUCGAGUGGCGAACGGGUGAGUAACACGUGAGUAACCUGCCCUUGACUUUGGGAUAACUUCAGGAAACUGGGGCUAAUACCGGAUAGGAGCUCCUGCUGCAUGGUGGGGGUUGGAAAGUUUCGGCGGUUGGGGAUGGACUCGCGGCUUAUCAGCUUGUUGGUGGGGUAGUGGCUUACCAAGGCUUUGACGGGUAGCCGGCCUGAGAGGGUGACCGGCCACAUUGGGACUGAGAUACGGCCCAGACUCCUACGGGAGGCAGCAGUGGGGAAUAUUGCACAAUGGGCGGAAGCCUGAUGCAGCAACGCCGCGUGCGGGAUGACGGCCUUCGGGUUGUAAACCGCUUUCGCCUGUGACGAAGCGUGAGUGACGGUAAUGGGUAAAGAAGCACCGGCUAACUACGUGCCAGCAGCCGCGGUGAUACGUAGGGUGCGAGCGUUGUCCGGAUUUAUUGGGCGUAAAGGGCUCGUAGGUGGUUGAUCGCGUCGGAAGUGUAAUCUUGGGGCUUAACCCUGAGCGUGCUUUCGAUACGGGUUGACUUGAGGAAGGUAGGGGAGAAUGGAAUUCCUGGUGGAGCGGUGGAAUGCGCAGAUAUCAGGAGGAACACCAGUGGCGAAGGCGGUUCUCUGGGCCUUUCCUGACGCUGAGGAGCGAAAGCGUGGGGAGCGAACAGGCUUAGAUACCCUGGUAGUCCACGCUGUAAACGGUGGGUACUAGGUGUGGGGUCCAUUCCACGGGUUCCGUGCCGUAGCUAACGCUUUAAGUACCCCGCCUGGGGAGUACGGCCGCAAGGCUAAAACUCAAAGGAAUUGACGGGGCCCCGCACAAGCGGCGGAGCAUGCGGAUUAAUUCGAUGCAACGCGUAGAACCUUACCUGGGUUUGACAUGGAUCGGGAGUGCACAGAGAUGGGUGUGCCUCUUUUGGGGUCGGUUCACAGGUGGUGCAUGCCUGUCGUCAGCUCGUGUCGUGAGAUGUUGGGUUAAGUCCCGCAACGAGCGCAACCCUUGUUCACUGUUGCCAGCACGUUAUGGUGGGGACUCAGUGGAGACCGCCGGGGUCAACUCGGAGGAAGGUGGGGAUGACGUCAAGUCCUCAUGCCCCUUAUGUCCAGGGCUUCACGCAUGCUACAAUGGCUGGUACAGAGAGUGGCGAGCCUGUGAGGGUGAGCGAAUCUCGGAAAGCCGGUCUCAGUUCGGAUUGGGGUCUGCAACUCGACCUCAUGAAGUCGGAGUCGCUAGUAAUCGCAGAUCAGCAACGCUGCGGUGAAUACGUUCCCGGGGCU
rnacentral:rRNA from 1 species